rnacentral:rRNA from 1 species
UACGUAGGUGGCAAGCGUUGUCCGGAAUUAUUGGGCGUAAAGCGCGCGCAGGCGGUCUUUUAAGUCUGAUGUGAAAGCCCACGGCUCAACCGUGGAAGGUCAUUGGAAACUGGGGGACUUGAGUACAGAAGAGGAAAGCGGAAUUCCACGUGUAGCGGUGAAAUGCGUAGAGAUGUGGAGGAACACCAGUGGCGAAGGCGGCUUUCUGGUCUGUAACUGACGCUGAGGCGCGAAAGCGUGGGGAGCAAACAGG